AGCAGCCGCGGUAAUUCCAGCUCCAAUAGCGUAUAUUAAAGUUGCUGCAGUUAAAAAGCUCGUAGUUGAAUUUCGGGACUGAUAUGUCGGUCGUGCCUCGGUACGUACUGGUAUUUUUGGUUUCUCCCUUCUGACGAACCUUGAUGUCAUUAAUUUGGUGUCUUGGGAAAUCAGGACUGUUACUUUGAAAAAAUUAGAGUGUUUAAAGCAGGCUCACGCUUGAAUACAUUAGCAUGGAAUAAUGAAAUAGGACGUUUGAUUCUAUUUUGUUGGUUUCUAGGAUUGACGUAAUGAUUAAUAGGGAUAGUUGGGGGCAUUAGUAUUCAAUUGUCAGAGGUGAAAUUCUUGGAUUUAUUGAAGACUAACUACUGCGAAAGCAUUUGCCAAGGAUGUUUUCAUUAAUCAAGAACGAAAGUUAGGGGAUCGAAGACGAUCAGAUACCGUCGUAGUCUUAACCAUAAACUAUGCCGACUAGGGAUCGGAUGAUGUUAAUUUUUAAUGACUCAUUCGGCGCCUUAAC
rnacentral:rRNA from 1 species